rnacentral:rRNA from 1 species
GAAUUCGCCCUUAGAGUUUGAUCCUGGCUCAGGAUGAACGCUGGCGGCGUGCCUAACACAUGCAAGUCGAACGGUUAAGGCGGCUUCGGCCGCGUAUAAAGUGGCGAACGGGUGAGUAACGCGUGACCGACCUUCCCCCCGCACCGGGACAACCGCGGGAAACCGCGGCUGAUACCGGGUACUCCGGGGCCUUCGCAUGAAGGCCCCGGGAAAGCUCCGGCGGCGGGGGAUGGGGUCGCGUCCCAUCAGGUAGUAGGCGGGGCAACGGCCCACCUAGCCGACGACGGGUAGCCGGGUUGAGAGACCGACCGGCCACAUUGGGACUGAGAUACGGCCCAGACUCCUACGGGAGGCAGCAGUGGGGAAUUUUGCGCAAUGGGGGCAACCCUGACGCAGCAACGCCGCGUGCGGGACGACAGCCUUCGGGUUGUAAACCGCUUUCAGCAGGGAAGAACCUAUGACGGUACCUGCAGAAGAAGCCCCGGCUAACUACGUGCCAGCAGCCGCGGUAAUACGUAGGGGGCGAGCGUUAUCCGGAAUGAUUGGGCGUAAAGCGCGCGCAGGCGGCCGCUCAAGCGGGACCUCUAACCCCGGGGCUCAACCCCGGGCCGGGUCCCGAACUGGGCGGCUCGAGUGCGGUAGGGGAGAGCGGAAUUCCAAGUGUAGCGGUGAAAUGCGCAGAUAUUUGGAAGAACACCGAUGGCGAAGGCAGCUCUCUGGGCCGUCACUGACGCUGAGGCGCGAAAGCUGGGGGAGCGAACAGGAUUAGAUACCCUGGUAGUCCACGCCGUAAGCGAUGAAUACUAGGUGUUGGGGGAGCAAAGCUCUUCGGUGCCGCAGCAAACGCAAUAAGUAUUCCACCUGGGGAGUACGUUCGCAAGAAUGAAACUCAAAGGAAUUGACGGGGACCCGCACAAGCGGUGGAGCAUGUGGUUUAAUUUGAAGCAACGCGAAGAACCUUACCAAGUCUUGACAUCCUUUCGACCAGCUCGUAAUGGAGCUUUUCCCUUCGGGGACGGGAGAGACAGGUGGUGCAUGGUUGUCGUCAGCUCGUGUCGUGAGAUGUUGGGUUAAGUCCCGCAACGAGCGCAACCCCUAUUGUCAGUAGCCAGCAGGUGAAGCUGGGCACUCUGAUGAGACUGCCGGGGAUAACCCGGAGGAAGGCGGGGACGACGUCAAAUCAUCAUGCCCCUUAUGAUUUGGGCUACACACGUGCUACAAUGGCGUAAACAAAGGGAAGCGAGCCCGCGAGGGGGAGCAAAUCCCAAAAAUAACGUCCCAGUUCGGACUGCAGUCUGCAACUCGACUGCACGAAGCUGGAAUCGCUAGUAAUC